UCUGCGAACGCAUCAAAGGUGGGACUUGCAGGAGUUUGCGCGUGUUCCCUGUCAAAAGUACCGUCUGGCAGAUUUCGAUACACGAAGCGCAAGAGACGACACCGACCAUAAAUUAAUUUAUUCGGACUGCAUUCUCUUCGAGAGAGAAAAUUUCUAUUCAGCGUAUAUCUGAAUUAUAAAGUAUUUGAGAAUCCGAAA